UGGGGAAUGAUGAUGGAAAUUAAAAUGAAUUAAUAGAGACUUUGAGUAAAACUUAGGUAUCUUGUAAGUGUUUAUAAAUACACAGGUUUUGCGUGUGUGUUUUUUUAAAUUUUAAUUUAAAACAUAUUAUAAGUGACUUUCCAAUAGGAAAUUAACUAUUAGGAAACAAUUAAAUAGGAUUAUUCACAUCUCAAAAUAGGAGCCAUAAAUUCUAGGAUAUUUUCUAGGUGUUUUUGUUCUCAGGAGGAGAAUAGGAGAAUAACAUCAUUUUUUGAGGAGGAAUCGCUCAAUCCAUUAACCCCCCCAAAUACCAGAGUUUCCAAUACUUUUGUUGACGCAGUUGAGACUCUGGAUUUGAGGGAAGAAGAAGGGAGGGAGAAAGGAGGAAAAGAAGAAGGAAAGGGUAGAAAGGAAGGGGGAGGAAGAGAAAGAAUGGGAGGUGGAAGAGGUGUAAGAAGGAGUGAGCGAGAGGAAAAAAAGAAGAAAGGGAAAGAGAAGGAAAAUAGACAGGAAAAGAAGGGAAAGUAGAAAAUAAAAAGUAAAGAUAAAAGAAGAAAAAAGUGAGAUGGAAAAGAAUAAGAAAUCGUCUCUUAACCUUUGAAACUAAAGAACUUAAGGGAAUUUAACGAGAGUAUAAAGUUAGUUAAAAUACAAAUUUCAAAAUCGGACCAUUCUAAGUGCUUGUAAGCCUACCUAACAUAGCUUAGCCUCGUCCCUCCCAAACAUCAGAAUUAUACGGAAAUCGAUGAUGCAAGGGAGCUGAAAACGCUCUUAGGAUUCCUAAGGAGGUUCUGGGGAGUAUCAAAUUCAAACACUCUACCUGAUUCAAGAACAAGAAUUUUGUCGUAAUUGAUGAUUGUUUUAAUCCUGUGGGCAAUAGUUAAUAUAGUACACCCUUUAAACUCGGAUUUGAUAGUUUCCUGAAUUAGAGAGUCGGUCUGGAUGUCCACAAAGGAAGUUGCUUCAUCAAGAAGAAGGAUCCUGGAUUUUCUAAGAAUGGCUCUUGUUAGGCAAAAUAGUUGCUUAAUACCCACACUAAGCUGGGUUCCACCUCCUUCUAAUUGGAAGUUUAACUUCCCUGGAAGGUUGUUAACGUAAUCAAAUACGUGCGCCCUUUUAAGAACCUCAUAAAGUUCUUCAUCUGAAUAACUUCCUUUUGGGUCUAAAUUGAACCUUACUGUGCCAGUGAAUAUUACUGGGUCCUGGGGGACUAUAGAAAUAGAUUCUCUGAGCUUUAGAGGGGAAACCUUAGAGGUUUCUAAAUCAUCUAUCAAUAUUGCACCAAAAGAAGGGUCGAAUAGACGAAGUAUUGCAGAAAAUAGACUGCUUUUUCCAGCCCCUGUCCUCCCAACUAUUCCAAUUCUUUCUCCUGGAGAAAUCUUCAAACAUAUAUUGCAUAGAGAAGGAUUAGGAUUAGGGUAGAAUGUCAUAUCCACAUUCCUGAAUUCAAUCUUGCCUUGAGAAGGCCAGUCUUCUGGUACAUUUAUAUUACUUUUCUCUUGAUCUGAUACAACUACUUGGUACAUUUCUGAAUCUGUAUAUGUACGAAUUCUUUCAAACCCAACCAUAUCUGCUUCAAAUUCACCGACAGUAAAGAUACUAUACCUUAACCAUCCAGGUAAAGCUACUGCAAAUGACAAAAUAGUACCAAGAAUACCCGGAUUUGAUAGAUUACAAGCUGAAAGAAGUACGCUGAAAAUCCCUGUUACAACUAAAGUCAUACAACCAAUUACCUCAAGACGGAGGUAAAGCCAAAUAUAGGCAAUGUCCAAGUGAUAUCUGAUAUUAUUUAAAGCAAUUAUUGCAUUAUCCAUUUUUCUAAUAAGCAUGUUCUCUGCUCCAAAUGUGUGAAUUGUUGCUAAGCCUGACAUAGUUUCCAUCAAUUGAGACGUAAUAGGAGCUGUUAAAGCUGCUGACUUUCUUUCACUUUGACGGAUAAUUGGCGGGUACUUUUUGGCCACACAAUAAAAAGCGUAAAAUAUUGGUGGAAUGAAGAAAAGGAACUGUGGUGUUAUUACUCCAACUGAUACCAACAUUGUUGCUGACAUUAAAACUGUUACAGAUGAAUUGUUAAAGCUUGUUGGUAGGAGCUCAUCUAAAUGAACAAGAUCUGAAGUAAACCUGUUUAAUAUUCUUCCAAUUGGAGUGUUUUCAAAGAAUGAAAGAGGAGCAUGCUCAAUAUGAGAAAGAAGCUUAUUGUGAUAGAUCUUAGACACUCCAACACCUCCUACUCGGAAGAUGAUUGUGGUUACAGUGCAAACAAUUGGGAGUACAAUACAUGCUGUCAAGUAUAUGUUAAAGUAAGCUCUCCAGUUUUCUUCAUUAGCAUUUUCUAGCCAUAUUCCAAUGAAGAAAGUAAUAAGUACGUAUAUUGCAACCAAUAAAGAUACAAAAAUUAAUAGUUUAAAGAGAGUGAGCUUUUCGUAAGAGAAUAUGUACUUCAUAUAAGUAUCUAGAGAUACCACUCCUUCUUCUUCCUCCUCUUCCUCUUCUUCAUCAACUUUAAACCUUGAACUCUCUCCUUCCUCUUCUGUUAUAGAGAUUCCUUCUUGACUAUAGUUUUGAGUUGAAUUGCUUUUAAUAAGACUUGUUAGAGUUAAAGACUCUCUUGAACUGUUAUUUGAGCCAAGUUUUGCAAUCUUUUGGUCAUUCUUUGUUUGAGUUAAGUUUGAACCAAAAAGAUUCUUAUAGUGAGGAAACUUUAGCAAUCCAUAGGGAUCUCCCAAAUAUAAGGGUUUCUUGCUGAUGUCAUCCAGAAGUAAAACCUUAUCAACAUGAACAACUAAAUCUGCAAGAUGAGUUGCCAAAAUGACACAUUUAUCUCUAAGCAACCCAAGUAUACAAUUCUUGAAGAUUCUAGCUGAUACAUUACUAUCAACUGCACUAAGACAAUCAUCAAGUGCAUAAAUCUGAGACCUCUGGUAAACAGCUCUUGCCAGACUAAUUCUUUGUCGUUGGCCUCCAGAAAGGUUAUUAGAGCUACCACUUAUCAUAGUUUGGUCACCUUUUGGAAAGAUCUUGAAAUCUGCUACUAAACAACAAGCAUCAACAACUUGAGCAUACCAUUCAGGGUCAAAUGGGGCUCCAAAAAGAAUAUUUUCUCUAAUUGUACCAGUAACAGCCCAAGCUAAUUGAGGAACAUAAGCCAAUUUUCCACUAACCUGUCGAAGUCCUUUAUAAUGCUGAAGUUCAUUAAUUAUGGAAAGCAAUAGACCACUUUUUCCGCUGCCAACUGGUCCUAAAAUAGCCAUCAUUUCCCCAGGAUUUACUUCAAAAGAAAGGUCUUUCAUUAAGAGAGCACCACUUGGCCAUCUUAGCUCAACUUUCUCGUAUUUAACAUUUCCUUUUAUUGGCUCUGAAAGGUCUUGAUCCUCAAUUGGCAUUGCACGAGAGACUUCAGAGCAAGAUGAAGUAUUCAUAAGUGAAUUAAUAUUGGAUCUAUCUUCAAUGACUAGGAAUUCGCUAAUUCUUUCACAUGAUAGAAUUAAAUCCCUGAAUAGAGCAUAAGAUUUGGGGAAGGAGGCAAUAAACUCACUCACUGCAUCGUACACAACGUAUGCAAAGAAUAUAUUGGCAGGGUCAUUAACCUCACCCAUAUACCUUCUUACAAUAAUAGUAAAAAGAAGAGCGUGAAAAACAACAGCAUGGCAUGCUGCUGCAAAUCCCCAACAUGUACCUUGAGCCAGUAAACUUAAGAUUUCGUUUUCUCUAUGUGAAUCAAUAUUUUUGAUAAAAUAUCUUUCCCAAGAGUAUGAUUUAAUAAUCUUAAUGUAAUUAAGAUACUCAGAAGUCAAAAGAAUACGACGAUCUCUGAUUUCUGAAAAUGGCUUUCUUAGAUAGGCUCUGAUAUUUAGGAAGCUAAUACUCCAUGUAGCAUGAGCAAACAUAACUAAUAUUCCAACAAUUCCUGAAAUUCCAAUAUUCAUAUAAAGCAUUAUAGCUGCAAUAGUGACCGAACAAGCGCCAUAGUAGAAUUCGUGACUUGUAUAUAGCCUUCCAAACCUAGAAACAUCGUUAUUUAGAAGAUUAACAACGUUUCCAGACAUGCCAAAGGAUCCCGUAGCUCCUUGCAGAGAAAUUUCUGAAGCCACAGAAAGUCUGGCUUUGCUAGCUCUAGAAGAGAGCUCUGUGUUUGAUUGAGGGCUUUCUGAAAAUAUAUUCGAGUCCAAAUUCAAUAAUUUCCUGUAAACAACCCCAGUAAUCAAGGAGCGAAUUUGCCUCCCUAAUCUUGUAACAAUCCUGGUUUCUUGCUGUCUUAAAACUGCAUAAGCAAUUAUGAGGGUUGUCAUUGCAAAUAUAUAGGCAAAACCUUUGCAAGCAAUACUUGAACUAAAUCUCUCAGGAACAAUCCCCAAAAUAACUGCCCACCAAGGGAUAGCUGAAUCAGCAGAAGAUUCAACUCUGGGAAUGAGCUCAGAAGAUUGAAUACAUUCCAAGAGCUUUCUUAGUAGAAAUAUCUGAGUUAAAUUACAGAUAUUUGAAAAUAUAACUAAAGCAAAUAUAAUAAAUAUUUGCUUACUGUAACACUGGAAUAAUACCCUGGCCAGUGAAGGAAAUUUAAGCUUUUUACUAGAAGCAGAACUAUUUGUAUUAGUGUUAUUCCCAUUUUUGUUUUCAAACACUUUAGAUUUUCCAAAUCUUUCACAUUCUGCCUUCCAUUUAUCUUCAAAGUUAGCAAGCGAGUAACUUGGAUCGUUUUGCUCCGGUAAAUGGUAAUACUCAUCCAAAGAUAGUAUAUGGUCAUAUGCAGAGUCAAUUAUUGGAGUAAACCAAGAAAAAGUAAAUUUAGAUAAGAAGCUAGCACUCUCUUCUGGAGUUAUUCCACCAGUUUUUUUGUGUAUAAACGGCUUUUCAUCUUGUACUUGAUCAUCAUUUUCUUUUUUCAAAUUUCUAUUAAAAAUCCCUCCAAGCAUUUUACAGUGCAAAGAUGAGCUCUUUCGAAGCUAAACCUCCUUGCUUAACUUUUUUUUCCUUAGCUUUAACCCUUCUCUAAAUUUGAUUGAUUUAC
rnacentral:antisense_RNA from 1 species